GCUAACUGAGCGGAGAGUGGCUGCGGGGCAGCUAACUGAGCGGAGAGUGGCUGCGGGGCAGCUAACUGGGCUUGAGGCCACUGAGCGGGCGAAUCGCUGUUCAUUUUAGUAUCAGACACACCAAACACAGCCCCAGAAUAAAUAGUCCCACAGUCCAAAAAAAAAGAGUCCUCACUCACCACAGCCGGCGAUUUAAAAGUCCGAACGUCCGGCUGUGGGGUGGCGCGCCGGCGGCGCGAUCGUCGUUUUUUUCCCGCUGACGGCUCCGACGGACCGGGCAAAACCACAUCCGGCGGGUUGGGCAGCGAGGUAGUAGUGGCAGAGAGAAGGUGUGGUGUGAGGUGGAGAAAAGCCUGCAUGGUCGGGGGAAGCGACUCCAAUAGCCAGGGCAGGCCGGAAAAGAGCCGUUGUAGCCGGCUUUCCACUGCGCGGCGAAGCUCCUCCGGGGGGUGUUCUAACCACAGCCCGAGGAGAAUCUCCACAUUGUAGACAAUGUCGUCCCGGAGCUCCUCGGACGGGUUGACUGCUGCUGGGUCCAUGGUGGCUGGUUCGUUCUGUCACGUCCGGUGUGGCAGACGUGUGGAGAAAUAGGGAGGACCCAAGAUGCGGCAGCUCUGGUGCAGAUAUGCAGGGAGGCACAGGGAAAUCCAUAGGAAGCCGGAGAGACGUAGGGAGACCGAGGGAAACAACACAGACGAACCAGCAACGAGGACAAGGGAGUGUGGGGAGCCAUAGCCCCGUCCCCCAGGGCAUGAAGCAGGUAUGGAGGAGAUCCAGGCCCCAGACAUCCAGAGGCCCCAGAAUACGAAGACCCAAGGAGGACCACCAGGGGGGCAACCGUGCCACCCUCCUGGGAAGAGCUGAGGAGAGACCCAAACGAGAGGUCACCCAGCAGCCACGG
ensembl:lncRNA